UCCAAAGUGCCACCAGUUGUG
rnacentral:siRNA from 1 species